rnacentral:lncRNA from 1 species
UGAGGGACAUAUGCCCGUGGCACUCUAUUAUGCAAGUAUUUCGACUUAUCUUUCUUCACGAUUUUUUAACAUUUUCUCUAUUGUUUUAUUUCUUCUCUUUGUUUAAAAUAAUUUUUACCCUUCGGUUAAGACUCAAAAGUCGCGCUCCUUCAUUAACCCUUCUCAUUAAACCUUCCUCUACUAUUCAUCUUAAUUACGCCUUCUCUGUUCCUCUUCUUUCUCAUAAUACACCAUAGCCAGUUUAGUCUUUUUUUCUUUGUGCCCUGCCGGAAAAAAAAUGUUAGCGAGACAAGAUUUUGUGGCAUCCUUCAUAACUGUGCUAUCCCCAAAAUAUAAGACAUCGGCCAAUCGGAGCCACUGGUGGUGGACUUAAGAUACAGGUUCGAAGUCGAAAAUCAGCGAUUGCUUGAAAGCACUCAAAGGCUUCAAGGACAUGAGACUUUCUGCUCCGGAGAAAAUAGACGGAACAGUUCGCGACUUUGCAGGUUCCUUCUCUUCGAUUUUUAAAUUAUCUUAACUCUUUUUACUCAAUUUUAUUGCUAUUUACUUUUGGAACAAUUAGAGGAUAUCACAAAUUCUGUAGAUAUUCAAAUUAGAACUUGUGAAAUAUAUACAAAUAGGCGAGAGUUGAUUGAAGUGUUGGUCAAUCUUUGAGGUUUAGUUGAAAAUUCAAUCAUCUUAUUUCAAAGGAGACGUUUUCUUGUGGUUAGACUGAUUUAUUGUUAUAUCUGGACUUCUCAUAGUUUUCUUUUUCCUUUUAAUUAUGCUCUUUCUUGCUAUUUUGUUUUCUUCUUAAGUGUUGGCCGUUUUCGGUUUGACAUAUGUGGUCUCAAAUUUACUUGGACAAGGUUGCAGUAGGUUUGGAUGCUCGAAAUAUAAAAUUCAUUAGAAUUGUUAAAAGGACCUUUCAUUUGACCUUCCCUAUAAUUGUUAACAUUCAUUACAAAUUUACAAUCAUAAACAAUUCACAUUUACUAAUUUAAUUGAGUUAUUUCAUAUUUAACAUUUGUUUUGUCAAUAAAAUUAUAUAGGAUGUUAAAAUUCAUUAAAAGUGGGUAAAUCAUGACAAGAUGUUUGACAUUAUUUUCUUUUAUUAAAUUUAAAUUUUAAUAUUUUAACUAUUUUCUAAGAUGGGGAUAGAAAAGCUUCAUGAAUGCUUCAAACAAGUCACGCCUUGAGAGAGAUUAUGAGACAAUCACACAUGUCACAGAAACAUCAACAUUAAAAUGUAAUUUCUAUUAAACUCUAUGCUGCUGACCUGAAAUAUUGUGAUGCAUUAUUCUUUCGUACCAACUUUCCUUUUGAUGUUGAAUCAUAUUUUCAGAACACUCAAAUAUAAUAUUGACGCAACAGAUUGUUUUCCUUAUUAGGAAUUCAUUUCCCUUUUUUACCCAAGUGAUUGUCUUGGCCAUCUGAUGACCUAUUCUUCUUUUAAUAGGAUGUUGAACUAAACAAAUGAUGGUCACACAGAACAGAGGGGAGACUAUGCCGUUCAAAAUGAGCAAGUUAAAAAGGUAUAGACGAUUGGAGCUACAUGUUUAACAGCUACAACACCGUCACUUGCUUCGGCCAAACAAGCAGCGUCCUUGCUAGAACUUGAUACAAUUGAGGUAUACUUUUGAGCUUUACUCUUCGUGCUACAAUAUUGAGUAAUUUGUCAAUGAAAAUGUUACAUUAUUUGAUAAGUGUUUAAAUCUAACUAUAUAACGUAUAAUGCAAAUAAAUAUCAGGGGUGAAGAAGGAUAUAAUAUCUAGAGAGAAUAUGAAUAAGGAAAAAGUAACUGUACUUGGUUUAUUGUUCCUAUGAAGGUAUCCGUAACUUGAUUGAUAAUGAUAAACUUUGCACAAUGUAUAACCAAGCAUUUGCACAACUUGGAGGGAAUUACUAUUAGCCGUAAACAAUUCUUCUUGAAGGAAACUUUUGCUUGAUGCCAAAUCUGAAAUUUCAUGGUAUUUAAGAGGAGCAUUAAGAUGUUUUUCUUUAUCUUUGGAAUAAAUUUGUAGUAAGCACUAAGCAGAAGGUGCUUUUGGUCUAAAGUUUAAUGAGAAAAUAGUUUUUGCUCAGUAAGUAUAUCUUUGUACUGUAAUAAAGAUUAGAUAUACCAGUUGUGAAUUUCAGAGAUCGCGGCAUAUAUUUUGUCAAUCAAAUAGUUUGAGGCCUCAUCUUUUUUGAUUUUUUUAGGAUUAUAUUCAGGUGUCUGCAUAUUCCAAAAUGGUUUUUUGAAUUGAAACAAAAUUGACAUUUUAAAAAUAUCAUUUCGUGCACUAUUACCUUUUUCUUCUAUAAUUUGAAGUGAUCAUUUUUAAAUAGGAAAGGGAAAGGAUUGGAACGUUUGACGAGAGAUUUUAUGGUGUUUAAAGGUAUACAAACAACAAAGGACACCACUAGACGAAAAAAAGGAGAGUGACAAGGUGGUCUUUGGUUUUCUAAGCAACCUUGAUAGCCUAUGCACCCUCUUAACCUACUCCGCGUAAUUAUUACUUUAGUAGUAUUAGAUAUUUUUGCUGUUUCUACCAUCCUUGAAAGCUUAAAUUAGCUCAUUUUGACAACAUUCUGUCGAGAGCAAUACCUAAAGAUACCAUGAAAGGGGGACUGUCUUCUUAAAAAAUAUAUAUUUAAACUUUUUUGUGUAAAAGAAACUGAUUUCUUUUUUUCAUGAUAAAUGGUUGAAAAUUAUCUGUAUGUCUAAUAUGAUGAUAUUAAGGAUGUUAUUGCAGGACUAUUUCAGAGUAUGAUAUGGUACCGACAAAGCAAUCGAUAAUCCAUAGGCAUUUAUUAUAUUCUCUUGCUUUCUUCUCAUAAAAUUGGGCUCGCCGUUUGUGAUCGUGUAUUUUUAUGAAAUCAUUUUUGUUAAAUUUGUGGAACAGUUUAGCGCGAUUCGAGUAUUUACAACUUACAAGUUGCAUCUAUGAAUGCCAUUUGGAUUUACAGUUGUCUUACGCACUUGAUUUUGUUAAUUUCACUCUACAAUUUGAAUGGAGGUAUAUGUGAUUCGGACAAUGGGUUCCUCCUGGUGGGUCAAGUGCAAGAAUUUUUUUGUUUAUAACUGAGAAUGUGCUGUACAUUUUAUUUUUCUCCUGCA